GAGUUUGAUCAUGGCUCAGAUUGAACGCUGGCGGCAUGCCUUACACAUGCAAGUCGAACGGCAGCAUGAUCUAGCUUGCUAGAUUGAUGGCGAGUGGCGAACGGGUGAGUAAUACAUCGGAGCGUGCCCUGUAGUGGGGGAUAACUAGUCGAAAGAUUAGCUAAUACCGCAUACGACCUGAGGGUGAAAGUGGGGACCGCAAGGCCUCAUGCUAUAGGAGCGGCCGAUGUCUGAUUAGCUAGUUGGUGGGGUAAAGGCCCACCAAGGCGACGAUCAGUAGCUGGUCUGAGAGGACGAUCAGCCACACUGGGACUGAGACACGGCCCAGACUCCUACGGGAGGCAGCAGUGGGGAAUUUUGGACAAUGGGCGAAAGCCUGAUCCAGCAAUGCCGCGUGUGUGAAGAAGG
rnacentral:rRNA from 1 species